UACAGAGGGUGCGAGCGUUAAUCGGAAUUACUGGGCGUAAAGCGUGCGUAGACGGCUAUCUAAGUCGGGUGUGAAAGCCCCGGGCUCAACCUGGGAAUUGCAUUCGAGACUGAAUAGCUAGGGUACGGUAGAGGGAAGCGGAAUUUCCGGUGUAGCGGUGAAAUGCGUAGAUAUCGGAAGGAACAUCAGUGGCGAAAGCGGCUUCCUGGACCAGUACCGACGUCAGGCACGAAAGCGUGGGGAGCAAACAGGAAUUAGAA
rnacentral:rRNA from 1 species